rnacentral:rRNA from 1 species
UACGUAGGGUGCGAGCGUUGUCCGGAAUUACUGGGCGUAAAGAGCUUGUAGGUGGUUUGUCGCGUUGUUCGUGAAAUCUCACGGCUCAACUGUGAGCGUGCGGGCGAUACGGGCAGACUAGAGUACUGCAGGGGAGACUGGAAUUCCUGGUGUAGCGGUGGAAUGCGCAGAUAUCAGGAGGAACACCGGUGGCGAAGGCGGGUCUCUGGGCCAUAACUGACGCUGAGGAGCGAAAGCGUGGGGAGCGAACAGG